rnacentral:rRNA from 1 species
ACGGAGGGUGCGAGCGUUGUUCGGAAUUACUGGGCGUAAAGCGCGUGUAGGCGGUUUGGCAAGUCUGAUGUGAAAGCCCCGGGCUCAACCUGGGAAGCGCAUUGGAAACUGGCAAGCUUGAGUACAGGAGAGGAAAGGGGAAUUCCCGGUGUAGGGGUGAAAUGCGUAGAUAUCGGGAGGAACACCGGUGGCGAAGGCGCCUUGCUGGACCGUUACUGACGCUGAGACACGAAAGCGUGGGGAGCAAACAG